AACGUAGGACACAAGCGUUAUCCGGAAUUACUGGGCGUAAAGGGCGCGUAGGCGGUGCCUCAAGUCAGGCGUGAAAGCCCCGGGCUCAACCUGGGAACCGCGCUUGAGACUGGAGUACUAGAGUUCGGGAGAGGAUGGUGGAAUGCCUGGUGUAGUGGUGAAAUGCGUAGAGAUCAGGCGGAACACCCGUAGCGAAGGCGGCCAGCUGGGCCGUCCCUGACACUGAGGCGCGAAGGCGUGGGGAGCGAACGGG
rnacentral:rRNA from 1 species